rnacentral:tRNA from 1 species
GGAUCGAUCGUCUAGCCUGGUUUGGAUGACGCACUCACACUGCGUAGGUCAUGGGUUCGAAUCCCAUUCGAUCCA